GCUCUGUCUGAUCAGUGGCGAACGGGUGAGUAACACGUGAGUAACCUGCCCCCGACUCUGGAAUAACCGUGGGAAACGACGGCUAAUACCGGAUAUGAGACGCACAGGCAUCUGUGUGUCUGGAAAGAUUUAUCGGUCAGGGAUGGACUCGCGGCCUAUCAGCUUGUUGGUGGGGUAAUGGCCUACCAAGGCGACGACGGGUAGCCGGCCUGAGAGGGCGACCGGCCACACUGGGACUGAGAUACGGCCCAGACUCCUACGGGAGGCAGCAGUGGGGAAUAUUGCACAAUGGGCGCAAGCCUGAUGCAGCGACGCCGCGUGAGGGAUGAAGGCCUUCGGGUUGUAAACCUCUUUCAGCAGGGAAGAAGCGAAAGUGACGGUACCUGCAGAAGAAGCGCCGGCUAACUACGUGCCAGCAGCCGCGGUAAUACGUAGGGCGCAAGCGUUGUCCGGAAUUAUUGGGCGUAAAGAGCUCGUAGGCGGUUUGUCGCGUCUGCUGUGAAAACCUGAGGCUCAACCUCGGGCUUGCAGUGGGUACGGGCAGACUAGAGUGCGGUAGGGGUGACUGGAAUUCCUGGUGUAGCGGUGGAAUGCGCAGAUAUCAGGAGGAACACCGAUGGCGAAGGCAGGUCACUGGGCCGCAACUGACGCUGAGGAGCGAAAGCAUGGGGAGCGAACAGGAUUAGAUACCCUGGUAGUCCAUGCCGUAAACGUUGGGCACUAGGUGUGGGGCUCAUUCCACGAGUUCCGUGCCGCAGCAAACGCAUUAAGUGCCCCGCCUGGGGAGUACGGCCGCAAGGCUAAAACUCAAAGAAAUUGACGGGGGCCCGCACAAGCGGCGGAGCAUGCGGAUUAAUUCGAUGCAACGCGAAGAACCUUACCAAGGCUUGACAUACACCGGAAAAGUGCAGAGAUGUGCUCCCCGCAAGGUCGGUGUACAGGUGGUGCAUGGUUGUCGUCAGCUCGUGUCGUGAGAUGUUGGGUUAAGUC
rnacentral:rRNA from 1 species